CCCCCCUCCAUCCCCCAACAUCAUAGGCCCAAAGGGCACCCUUUCUAAAAAUGACCAUGUUUUGCAAAAUGAGGUUCUCGUGCUUGUUUUUUCGAUUUUUUUUUACUUCGAACAACUUUCGACAUUGAAGAGGAUGGAUUUUCGAAGGUCUAAACUAUAUGUUAUUCAUACAAGAAUGUCAAGAUGUCCCCAAAUGCCUUGUAGCCACCAUCGCACAAGCAAAAUUCUAACAUUUUUUGUAUUCACGUAGCAUAUGUGUAGAAGUUUGCAUGCACCCGGUUAAUGUUUCAACAUUCAUAUUCACUUGUUCAACUCCUAGUUCAUAUUUCAACACUUGUUCAACUCAAAAUCAUUUUCACUAAUUUUUAGCCAAUUAUUUUAUAUUUUCUCAAUUCUUGUUAAUUUCUUCCAUCCAUAUAAUUAAGUAAAUCUUAUCCCAAAUAGUUUUGGGAUAUAUUUACUAAUUUUCCAAGUCAUUCCACAUGAUUUUUUGUAUUUUUUGUAAUUUUUUUCAUUUUAUAAUAAUUAUUUUCGUAAAUAAAUUAAAAAAAAUAUUUUCGGUUGUCAAAUUUUUUUUUAAAUUUUUUCCUAGUGUUUGUUGAAUUAUUUCAUGCCUUUGUACAAAAAAUCAAGUCAAAAUAAUAAGUAUAUAUUUUUAAAACACCAAUUAUGACUCCUCAAAAUUUCCAAUGUUUCCUCCUGUCACUCAAAGGAUUGCUAAAAAUGCUAUUAUAGGGGGGGGGCAGGUAGUCAGCAGCAUGGGGUGCCAAGGCAUGCAGGCAAGCAGCACCCAUGCAGGCCAUGUGCAUGUCGCGUGGCCACGCAGUGCAUGUCGCGUGGCCACGCAUGGCACGUGUCAGCAUGUCAGCAUGCCUAGGUGUGUCGGCAGCCGUGGUGGUUGGCCCCCCCCUUUGCCACCAUCGGAUGUUGCCCCUAGCCCCCCGCCGCCUCCGUCUGCCCGCCAAUCACUGGCCCUCGAGGACCGCCCGGCCAAGUGCUAAGCGGUUGCUUUGAGUGUUGCCAUGGGUUGCGUGUUGCUGGAGGUGGUGGGUGUCCCUCGGAACGAUUGAUGCCACGAUGCCCAAUGGUGGUGCGAUGCCAUUGGGCAACAAGUUGACAGGUUCGGUCUCUGAAUGGCAUGCUAGGCCAACGGUGUCGCCACCAUCAUUGGCCAACAAUGUGUUUUGGCUCGGAUGCUCUUCCAAACAUCUUUAAAAAUUAUAUUUUAAAAAAUAUCAAUUUUGAGUAUAUAUUUUUAAAUCCCUAAUUAUGAUUCCUCAAAAUUUCCAAUGUUUCCUCCUGUCACUCAAAGGAUUGCUAAAAAUGCUAUUAUAGGGGGGGGCAGGUAGUCAAAAGCAUGGGGUGCCAUGGCCUGCAGGCAAGCAGCACCCAUGCAGGCCAUGUGCAUGUCGUGUGGCCACGCAGUGCAUGUCACGUGGCCACGCAUGGCACGUGUCAGCAUGCCUAGGUGUGUUGGCAGCCGUGGUGGUUGGCCCCCCCUUGCCACUGUCGGAUGUCGCCCCUAGCCCCCCGCUGCCUCCAUCCGCCCGCCAAUCAUUGGCCCUCGACGACCCCCCGGCCAAGUGCCAAGCGGUUGCUUUGAGUGUUGCCAGGGGUUGCGUGUUGCUGGAGGUGGUGGGUGUCCCUCAGAACGAUUGAUGCCACGAUGCCCAAUGGUGGUGCGAUGCCAUUGGGCAACAAGCUGACCGGUCCGCUCUCGGAGUGGCAUGCUAGGCCAACGGUGUCGCCACCACCGUUGGCCAACAACGUGUUUUGGCUUGGAUGCUCUUCCAAAUAUUUAAAAAAAAUAUAUUUUAAAAAAUAUCAAUUUUGAGUAUAUAUUUUUAAAACCCCAAUUAUGAUUCCUCAAAA